CGAUGACUAGUCUAACAAAGACCUCUAAUUUCGACUUAGAAAAUCCUGCCUUACCACAGGGUCACCAA
rnacentral:tRNA from 1 species